rnacentral:misc_RNA from 1 species
GAUGAAGACGUAGCAAAAUGCGAUACUUGGUGUGAAUUGCAGAAUCCCGUGAACCAUCGAGUUUUUGAACGCAAGUUGCGCCCGAAGCCUUUUGGCCGAGGGCACGUCUGCCUGGGCGUCACGCAUCGCGUCGCCCCCCACAAUUCUCCAUAAAGGGAACGUGUGUUUUGGGUGCGGAUAUUGGUCUCCCGUGCUCAUGGCGUGGUUGGCCGAAAUAGGAGUCCUUUCGAUGGACGCACGAACUAGUGGUGGUCGUAAAAACCCUCGUCUUUUGUUUCGUGCUGUUGCUCGCAAGGUAAACUCUUUAAAAACCCCAAUGUGUCGUCUCUUGACGACGCUUCGACCGCGACCCCAGGUCAGGCGGGACUACCCGCUGAGUUUAAGCAUAUCAAUAAGCGGAGGA